rnacentral:rRNA from 1 species
AGUGAACGCUGGCGGCAGGCCUAAUACAUGCAAGUCGAACGGCAGCACAGCAGAGCUUGCUCUGUGGGUGGCGAGUGGCGGACGGGUGAGGAAUACGUGGGUAUCUGCCCAGUCGUGGGGGAUAACGUAGGGAAACUUACGCUAAUACCGCAUGCGCCCUUUGGGGGAAAGCCGGGGAUCUUCGGACCUGGCGCGAUUGGAUGAGCCCACGUCGGAUUAGCUAGUUGGAGGGGUAAAGGCCCACGAAGGCGACGAUCCGUAGCUGGUCUGAGAGGUUGAUCGGGCAGACUGGAACUGAGGAACGGUCGAGACUCCUAAGGGAGGCAGCAGUAGAGAAUAUUGGAGGAUGGGGGAAAGAGUGAUCCAGCCAUGCCGCGUGAAUGAAGAAGGCCCUCGGGUUGUAAAGCUCUUUUGUUGGGGAAGAAAAGCCUUGGGUUAAUACGCUGAGGUUCUGACGGUAGCCAAAGAAUAAGCACCGGCUAACUUCGUGCCAGCAGCCGCGGUAAAAC